AAUACUAACCAUUUACCGAUAGUGAACAAGUACUGUGAAGGAAAGGUGAAAAGAACCCGGAGACGGGAGUGAAAUAGAUCAUGAAACCUUUAGCCUACAAAGAGCCAGAGCACAUUUAUGUGUAAUGGCGUGCGUUUUGAAGUAUGAGCCGGCGAGUUAUUGUUGCAUGCAAGGUUAAGCCGACAAAAGCGGAGCCUAAGCGAAAGCGAGUACUAACUGUGCGUUUUAGUAUGUGGCAAUAGACCCGAAACAGAGUGAGCUAUCCAUGGGCAGGUUGAAGGCGGGGUAAAACCCUCUGGAGGACCGAACCGACUACCGUUGAAACGUUAGCGGAUGACUUGUGGAUAGGGGUGAAAUUCCAAUCGAACUCUGUGAUAGCUGGUUCUCGCCGAUAUAGUUUUAGGACUAGCGUUGGAUUAUUGAUGUCUCGGAGGUAAAGCACUGAAUUCAUGAUGGCGCUCUCUGAGUGUACUGAAUGAAAUUAAACUCUGAAUGCCGUUUCAUCUACUCCAGCAGUGAGACUACGGGGGAUAAGCUUCGUGGUCGUGAGGGAAAGAGCCCAGAUCAACAAAUAAGGUCCCUAAAUUUAGCUAAGUGGAAAAGGAAGUAUCAAUUCAUAAACAACUAGUAUGUUGGCUUAGAAGCAGCCAUCAUUUAAAGAGUGCGUAAUAGCUCACUAGUCUAGUUUUUUUGCACCGACAGUAUAACGGGGCUAAGCUAAAUACCGAAUUUUUGAACUCCAAGAAACCAGCCGUAUUAUUGGAGUGGUAGGCGAGUGUCAUAUAGGCGAUGAAGCUUGAGCGUGAGUACAAGUGGAGCCUACAUGAGUAAGAAUGCCGGCGUGAGUAACGUAUGAAAGUGAAAAUCUUUCUAGCCGAAUGACUAAGGUUUCCAGGGCAAGGGUCGUCCUCCCUGGGUUAGUCGGACCUAAGAUGAGGCCGAAAGGCGUAGUCGAUGGACAGCGAGUUAAUAUUCUUGCACUCAUCUAUUUGGCGAAGGGAUGACAGAAGAGGUUAAUAUGUGCGGGUUAAUGGAUUCCCGUUUAAAUCACAAGUAGGAGAAGCAGGCAAACCCACUUCUCAAAAAACUAUGAGUGGUGAAUAGGAGCGAAAGAGGAAACUCAAGUAGCGAAGUCAUAUACAUCAUAUUCUCAAGAAAAGUCUCUAGCAUUCAACAAAUAGGUAUCCGUACCGAGAACGAACACACGUGGUCAUAGAGAAAAUCCUCAGGCUAUCGAGAUAACUACAGUUAAGGAACUCUGCAAAAUCACCCCGUAACUUAGGGAGAAGGGGUGCCUGCGUGAUGCAGGCCACAGUAAAGAAUGAGGGGGGACUGUUUAACAAAAACAUAGCUAUAUGCAAAAACGAAAGUUAAAGUAUAUGUGGCGACACCUGCCCAGUGCCAGAAGGUCAAUGAAGGCCGUUAGCGAAAGCGAAGCGUCUAACUUAAGCCCUGGUGAACGGCGGCCGUAACUAUAACGGUCCUAAGGUAGCGAAAUUCCUUGUCAGGUAAAUUCUGUCCCGCUUGAAUG
rnacentral:rRNA from 1 species